GUGAUAUUCAGACAACAUAUAAGUGUUGUCUGAAUAAGGUGAGUUUGACUUUUUUGGUUUUAGGUCUCUUUUGGCAUAACAUAAACCCUUCGUGUUUUUUCAUUCCCACAAACUCUGUCUAAAACUCUCUCUCCUUCAGCAAAACCCCGUCUUCCUCUCCAUCUCUCUCAUUUCCUUCCCCAAACCCCGCAACCUCCCCAACAGCCACCACAAUCACUCUCAAUCAAAAACCAACAUGCCCCAAACUCCGCCUCUUCCUCUUCCGGCUCAACCCUCCGUUCAGAUCCAAUCCCCAGAAGGCUGCUCUCCCAAAAACAAUGAUUGAAAUUGAUGAAAUCUCUCUCGCAAAGGCAAUGCUUCGAGGCGUGGCUGGAGGAGGUGCGACCUGGCCUGGACUCGUGGGGCGAAGGGAAGGCAAAGUGGUGAGGAGUGAGGACUCUGUGAGCUACUUAUACAGGCUGGGCAAAGAGGCCGAUAACAACAACAUCGCCGUAGGAUCCCGGGGAGGCGUCGUCGAUAAUCUUUAUGUCGGCAAAUCCCUCAAUCGAGACUCCGAUAUCGUCUUUGAUUAUCGAUAAAAGGUCACCAGGUACUGGAAGUACCUGCAAGGCGAUUAUUACAUUGCGCCUCUCUUCAUGGUAUGAUGGACUUCGAUAACCUUCUCGAUUUCAAGAACGACGACCCACUCCUCAACCCUCUGCUAAGAAAAGGAAAUUGGAUGAUAUUUUGACUGAUGUGAACUGGAGAAGGUGAGGUCUUGGUUGCCAAGUGGGAAGGUUAAGCCUGUGCGGUUGAAUGAUGUGAAUUGGGGGAUUAGUUGGAAAGAUCGGCGAAU